rnacentral:piRNA from 1 species
UAAAAAGGUAAAAGGAAGUGCUAAGGAG